rnacentral:siRNA from 1 species
ACUAACAGUCUAAUAAGUCUUAGU